CAAGACAACACUCUUUUCGUCCCUCGCGUGAGGUUCACGCGCGACCUAACCUCGCCGCCGCCGCCAUGUUCUCCGAUCUCGCAGCCCCUAUCGUCGUCGACUGAUCGGACACCACUGCAGAUCUCCAACUCUCCCGCGACCUCAAUUGCAUCUUCUUCGACCUUGACUCCCUGCAGCCCUCCCAGCGACGUUGUCUCGCCGCCAUCGGCCUCACCAUCAUCUGAUGCAGGUUAUUGCAGCACGGAGGAAGAGAUUGUCGGCUUAAGAGAGAAAUUCUCAAAUACCUUGGCACUUCUUGUUAACACGGGACAAUUAUUUGUUAUGAACUAAGGUUGAUCAGCCAAUGUUUUAUACCAAAAUUAUUGAAUUAAAAAUAAGAUACGUAAUGUAGCUGCAGGUGGUGAAUUGGAAGAAACUCCUGAGGAAUUAUGAUAUGUGUGAUUACUGAGACAACAAUCAAACAAAAUAGUUGCUGAAGUGGAUGCAGAUCAUGUGGGUGACUUCAACAAAUCUUUAAUAGCCCCACUUGCUUAUGCUUAACAUAAACACUAUAAUGCAUUAUUGUUCUAUGGAAGAUUUAGAAUAUUGACAUGAUGUUGCAAGGUAUCAACAUCAGUUUUCUUAUGUCCCCGUUAUCCCUU